UACGAAGGGGGCUAGCGUUGUUCGGAAUUACUGGGCGUAAAGCGCACGUAGGCGGAUUGUUAAGUUAGGGGUGAAAUCCCAGGGCUCAACCCUGGAACUGCCUUUAAUACUGGCAAUCUCGAGUCCGAGAGAGGUGAGUGGAAUUCCGAGUGUAGAGGUGAAAUUCGUAGAUAUUCGGAAGAACACCAGUGGCGAAGGCGGCUGACUGGACAUGUAUUGACGCUGAUGCACGAAAGCGUGGGGAGCGAACAGG
rnacentral:rRNA from 1 species